rnacentral:rRNA from 1 species
GACGAACGCUGGCGGUGUGCUUAACACAUGCAAGUCGAACGGUAAGGCCCUUUCGGGGGUACACGAGUGGCGAACGGGUGAGUAACACGUGAGUAACCUGCCCUCAUCUCUGGGAUAACAGUCGGAAACGGUUGCUAAUACUGGAUAUGAGCUUGCAAGGCAUCUUGUGGGUUGGAAAGAUUUUUUUUGGUUGGGGAUGGGCUCGCGGCCUAUCAGCUUGUUGGUGAGGUAGUGGCUCACCAAGGCUUCGACGGGUAGCCGGCCUGAGAGGGCGACCGGCCACAUUGGGACUGAGAUACGGCCCAAACUCCUACAGGAGGCAGCAGUGGGGAAUAUUGCACAAUGGACGGAAGUCUGAUGCAGCAACGCCGCGUGCGGGAUGACGGCCUUCGGGUUGUAAACCGCUUUCAAUUGUGACGAAGCUUUUUUGUGACGGUAGCAGUAGAAGAAGCACCGGCUAACUACGUG